rnacentral:rRNA from 1 species
UACGUAGGGGGCGAGCGUUGUCCGGAUUUACUGGGCGUAAAGCGCGUGUAGGAGGCUCAACAAGUUGGAUGUAAAAUCUCCCGGCUUAACUGGGAGGCGUCGUUCAAAACUGUAGAGCUAGAGUAGUGUAGAGGUAAUCGGAACUCCGGGAGUAGCGGUGAAAUGCGUAGAUAUCCGGAAGAACACCAGAGGCGAAAGCGGAUUACUGGACACCAACUGACACUGAGACGCGAAAGCCAGGGUAGCAAAC